GUCUUUUAAUUUAAGGCUAGUAUGAAUGGUUGGAUGAAAAAUAAACUUUCUUAUUUUUAUAUGAAAAAAUUAGUUUUCUAGUCAAAAAUCUGGGAUAAAUUUAAAGGACGAGAAGACCCUAUAGAACUUUAUUAUCAUUUCUUAUAAUAUUUAUAGUUUAUUAUAAAAUAAUAAGUUUUAGUUAAUUGUGUUGGGGUGACAAAAAAAAUAUUAUAACUUUUUUUAAUUAUAUCAUAUAUUAAUGUUAUUUUGAUCCUAUAUUAUGGAUUAUAAGAUUAAGUUACCUUAGGGAUAACAGCGUUAUUUUCUUGGAGAGUACAUAUCGAUAGGAAAGUUUGCGACCUCGAUGUUGGAUUAAAAUUAGUUGCAGGGGUAGAUUAUUGUUAACUAGGUCUGUUCGACCUUUAAAUUUUUACA
rnacentral:rRNA from 1 species